GCAAACCGUUAAUGCACUUGGCUGCUAACCAAAAGACUGGUGGUUCAAGACCACC
rnacentral:tRNA from 1 species